rnacentral:tRNA from 1 species
UCCCAGGUGGCUCAGAUGGUAAAGUGUCUGCCUACAAUGCGGGAGACCUAGGUUCGAUCCCUGGGUCGGGAA